GCCCAGAAACGAGGCAGAGGUCACUGACAUGAUCUUACAGUAAAGGACCCCAAGAAUCUGGAAGAUGACAAUGACGUGUGUCCAGAAUCCCCAUCUCCCCAGCUCAAUGAUGACGAGCAAGGACUCUGAGAAGCAAGAUUGUGGAAUGCUCCUGUUCCCAGGAGACCUGGAGGAGCAUCUCUGUAUUUGUAUGGCCAUGAGUUUUAUUACAGUACCCUGUUACCUGAAGUAAUCCAAAGGAGGCAUGUGCUCUUUCUAAGCAAAGGAUUAACUCACAAACCCAGACUCAGCAACGGAACUAUAUGACAAGGCGGCAUGGAAGAGAAAAAUUAUGAAGGAAAGAAAAACCUAAGAAAACAAGCAACCAGUCAUUAAGCUUAUACCUUGCCUCCUACCAGAUGCCUGUGUUACCUCCCAGGAAACUCACAAGAAUUGGCUGAUACAGUGCUCCUUUU